GACGAACGCUGGCGGCGUGCCUAAUACAUGCAAGUAGGACGCAGUUGCGAACGGGUGAGUAACGCGUAGGUAACUACCUAUUAGAGGGGGAUAACUAUUGGAAACGCUAGCUAAUACCGCAUACUAGUAGAUGGACCUGCGUUGUAUUGGCUAGUAGGUAGGGUAAUGGCCUACCUAGGAAACGCUCCAAUGCCGAACCUGGAGGGGGAUCGGGCAAACUGGGAAUGGGACAAGGCCCCGACUCCGACGGGGGGGCGCAGUAGGGGAACUUCGGGAAUGGGGGGAAACCUUGCCCAGCAACGGCGCGGGGGUGAAGAAGGUUUUCGGGUCGGAAAGCUCCGUGGUUAAGGAAGCGGUACUUAACCAGAAAGGGACGGCUAACUACGUGCCAGCAGCCGCGGUAAUAC
rnacentral:rRNA from 1 species